AGUCUUAUUAGUUCCGUUAACUUUUUGCCAUAUAUGGGCCGUGUGAUUUUACUAAUGGGCUUUAGUGGGAUAGGCCCUUUUCCCUUGUAUAAAGUGAGCCUUGCCUCAUAUCCACCGCCUCCGAUCUCUAGAUUCAUCGAUCCAUUUCCCGCCUCGUUCGUUUCUCCGGUGGCGAUCCUUUCUUUUCUCCGCAUCCAGCGCCUCCGAUCUCUAGAUUCAUCAAUCGAUUUUCCGUUCCGAUGGCUUGUUCAGUGACGACAGGGUACAAGCUCGGCUGCGAGCUUGGCGGCAAUGUUUCUGCGAUGGUUGUGGAGUUGGUCGUCUCGCGUUUUCUGUAGUUAAAUCCACUGAAAAAACAAUUUUAUUGCACUUCACAGUCUAUAAGCGGUUCAUGAAAUUGGUAAGUCGGUGUGCAAAUUUUGGACUAUCACAUAAGCACCUUACGUUAUAUCUAUAUUUUUUCUAUUAACAUUUUAGUGUCAUAUGUAUAUUUUCUAAUCUAUUAUCAAUUUAUAGACGAUGAUUGUUGAGUUGGUCGUAUCGCAUUUUGUAUAGUUAAGUCUAUUAACAAAAAAAAA